AUUGAACGCUGGCGGCAGGCCUAACACAUGCAAGUCGAACGAGUGGCGGACGGGUGAGUAAUGUCUGGGAAACUGCCCGAUGGAGGGGGAUAACUACUGGAAACGGUAGCUAAUACCGCAUACCAUCGGAUGUGCCCAGAUGGGAUUAGCUAGUAGGUGGGGUAACGGCUCACCUAGGCGACGAUCCCUAGCUGGUCUGAGAGGAUGACCAGCGACACUGGAACUGAGACACGGGCCAGAGUCCCACGGGAGACAUCAGUGGGGAAUAAUGCACACUGGGCGCAGGCCUGAUGCAGCCAUGCCGCGUGUAUGGAGAAGGCCUUCGGGUUGUAAAGUACUUUCAGCGAGGAGACGUUGCUCGCAGAAGAAGCACCGGCUAACUCCGUGCCAGCCGCCGCGGUAAUUC
rnacentral:rRNA from 1 species